GUCAGCGACCAUACCACGUAGAAAGCACCGGUUCUCGUCCGAUCACCGAAGUUAAACUACGACCGGAUGGGAAUACCCGGUGUUGCUGACU
rnacentral:rRNA from 1 species